GUGCAGGACAUUUUGGGACAGAAAAGCUUCAUUCACCCACAGUCACAUCCCUGUCUUUUACCAUGAGCUGCCCUCAGUCUCAAAAGACCAGGAUUGGUGGGAAGAAUGCUGAUUCUCCUCAAAAACAAGUUAUCUUCAGAAAAAGCACCCGUGACAAAGCUCUGACCAUCUACCUGGGAAAGCGGGACUUCAUUGACAACAUAGGGAAUGUGGAACCUGUAGAUGGUGUUGUAUUGGUGGAUCCUGCUAUUAUCAAAGGGAAAAAAGUGUUUGUGUCCCUGACCUGCGCGUUCCGCUACGGCCAGGAAGACAUUGAUGUGAUUGGCCUCACCUUCCGCCGGGACCUGUUCUUCUCCAGGGUCCAGGUGUACCCGCCUGCUGACAAGCCAGAGUCUCUCACCCUCUUGCAAGAAUCUCUGCUAAAGAAGCUGGGGAAAAAUGCUUAUCCCUUUUUCUUUACAUUUCCAGAUUACCUGCCUUGUUCAGUCUGUCUGCAGCCUGCACCUCGUGACGUUGAUAAGACUUGUGGGGUGGACUUUGAGGUGAAAGCUUUCUCAACAGAAAAUGUGGAAGAGAGAAUUCAUAGGAGGAACUCUGCACGUCUGCUGAUCCGCAAGGUGCAGUAUGCUCCGGAGAAGCCAGGACCCCAGCCUUGUGCAGAGACCACCUGGCAAUUCUUCAUGUCCAACAAGCCCCUGCACCUGAAAGCUUGCCUCAGUAAAGAGGUAUACUACCAUGGUGAGCCCAUUCCAGUCACUGUCACCAUCAACAACAGCACAGAGAAGACAGUGAAGAAGAUCAAAGUCCAGGUGGAGCAGGUGGCCAAUGUGGUGCUGUACUCCAGUGACUUCUAUACCAAAGUGGUGGCUGCUGAGGAAGCACAGGAGAAGGUGCAGCCAAACAGCAGCCUGACUAAGACACUGACACUUUUGCCCUUGCUUGCAAAUAACCGGGAGACACGGGAAAUAGCUCUGGAUGGAAAACUGAGGGAUGAGGACACCAACUUGGCUUCUAGUACUAUCAUCAAGGAUGGAAUAGACAAGACAGUGAUGGGGAUUCUGGUUUCCUACAAGGUCAAAGUGAAGCUCACUGUUCCAGGCAUGCUGGGAGACCUCACUUCCAGUGAAGUGGGCACAGAGCUGCCAUUUCGUCUCAUGCACCCCAAACCUGAGGAAAAGAACCCAGCAGAGCAUGAAACUGGAAAGCGACAGUAGAACUUUUGAGAAGAGUUAUCCUGAGACAGAUGCUUUGGUCUGUACUGGAAGCUAGAAAGGGGUGACUUGAGUCCUUGCUGUGUGAAAUUGUUGGAGGAAUCAAGUGUGAGCGAUGAGAAGAGAGCUGGUGAUCCACUCCACAUUCAGAUGCUCUGAUUGGGAAUCAGGCUUUGCAAAUUAAGGAUGUGUUGGAGUGGGCAAAGUGAAGCAGAGCUGGUAUUUGAGGAGUUUGCUCGUCAGCAGCUAAAAAAUACACCUGAUGAAGAGGAUAAGAAUUCACCCUCAACUGAUGAGUGAUUAAAAGACCAAGCUGACAGAGGAGCUGUGCUGUCCGGCUUCAAUUACAAAUGUAGGACCUAAGUUUCUAGUAAUCUGAAUGUUCUUGGUUCAUGCAUGGUCUUCCAGGGAUCAGCCCUGAGGUCAGUGGACAUGACGUUAGGAAUCUCUAUUGCUUAUUACAAGAUUCACCUCUGGAGGAAUGUGGCAAACACAACACCUGGUUCUUACUCGAGCUACCAGAGGAGGACAGGAUGUCUGCCAUGUCAUGACUUCUGCUUUCAGGACUGCCUAAUAAAAAGUUUAGUUGCUUUCAGCACUGGUGAGAGCUUAAAUGAGGGUUUAUGCAGCCUGCCUGGACUUAUUCAGUGUCAGAGUCUGUGACUUUGAAGUGCCAGUGAACCAAAUCCUAGCCUGGAAGGCUGGCUUGCAGCCAUGGGUGAUUCAUCAAAGUUUCUCAGCAGACUGUACAAAACUGAUUUUAUUUCCUUUACGUUGCUUUUGCGUUGAUGCUUUACCAAAUUCAAACAGUGAAUUUUUUCAGUACUUGCACUGUCCCCAUGUGGCUUUUACAUCCACUUUCUGUACCAAUAAAUGUCUCACAAGUUGUCUCCCACAGCAUAGACAAUGCUGAUACACAGAAUUAGCUUUCUAGCAAUAUACUUAAUAACCAUGUUAUUAAAGUUGAGAUAAAUGUGCACUGUCCAUGAAUUGCUUAAAGCUCGCUAUAUACAAUGCCAAACAGAAAUACAAGUCCAGACAGAGCCUGUAUUUAAUCUAGUUUCCUGUAGGCAACUGCUUCAAAAGAGGGUGCAGGAAAAUUAAGGAGGAAAUUAUGGUGCAGCCUUCCCUGAGGAGCCUUUCCCAACAUCUGCCAGCAGUUGGUUUAUGCUCUAAGAAAUAAGAUUGCAUUCUGCAAACUUUGUUUUCUCGUGUUGAUCUGAUUAUUCUCAUUAUCCAUGUAAAUAUUGGAUAUUUUCCUGAAUCUCACUUAGGUUUUUGCUCAAAUGACUUGUAUCAGCUAAUAAUAU